rnacentral:rRNA from 1 species
GACGAACGCUGGCGGCGUGCUUAACACAUGCAAGUCGAACGGAAAGGCCCUGCUUUUGUGGGGUGCUCGAGUGGCGAACGGGUGAGUAACACGUGAGUAACCUGCCCUUGACUUUGGGAUAACUUCAGGAAACUGGGGCUAAUACCGGAUAGGAGCUCCUGCUGCAUGGUGGUGGUUGGAAAGUUUCGGCGGUUGGGGAUGGACUCGCGGCUUAUCAGCUUGUUGGUGGGGUAGUGGCUUACCAAGGCUUUGACGGGUAGCCGGCCUGAGAGGGUGACCGGCCACAUUGGGACUGAGAUACGGCCCAGACUCCUACGGGAGGCAGCAGUGGGGAAUAUUGCACAAUGGGCGGAAGCCUGAUGCAGCAACGCCGCGUGUGGGAUGACGGCCUUCGGGUUGUAAACCGCUUUCGCCUGUGACGAAGCGUGAGUGACGGUAAUGGGUAAAGAAGCACCGGCUAACUACGUG